rnacentral:sRNA from 1 species
AGAUGGACGGACCAAU